rnacentral:rRNA from 1 species
UACGUAGGGUGCAAGCGUUAAUCGGAGUUACUGGGCGUAAAGCGUGCGCAGGCGGUUGUGCAAGACCGAUGUGAAAUCCCCGGGCUUAACCUGGGAAUGGCAUUGGUGACUGCACGGCUAGAGUGUGUCAGAGGGGGGUAGAAUUCCACGUGUAGCAGUGAAAUGCGUAGAGAUGUGGAGGAAUACCGAUGGCGAAGGCAGCCCCCUGGGAUAACACUGACGCUCAUGCACGAAAGCGUAGGGAGCAAACAGG